rnacentral:rRNA from 1 species
AUUGAACGCUGGCGGCAUGCUUUACACAUGCAAGUCGAACGGCAGCACGGGCUUCGGCCUGGUGGCGAGUGGCGAACGGGUGAGUAAUAUAUCGGAACGUACCCAGAAGUGGGGGAUAACGUAGCGAAAGUUACGCUAAUACCGCAUACGAUCUAUGGAUGAAAGCAGGGGACCGCAAGGCCUUGUGCUCCUGGGCGGCCGAUAUCUGAUUAGCUAGUUGGUGAGGUAAAGGCUCACCAAGGCGACGAUCAGUAGCUGGUCUGAGAGGACGACCAGCCACACUGGAACUGAGACACGGUCCAGACUCCUACGGGAGGCAGCAGUGGGGAAUUUUGGACAAUGGGCGCAAGCCUGAUCCAGCAAUGCCGCGUGAGUGAAGAAGGCCUUCGGGUUGUAAAGCUCUUUUGUCAGGGAAGAAACGGUAGAGGCUAAUAUCCUUUGCUAAUGACGGUACCUGAAGAAUAAGCACCGGCUAACUACGUG